UACGGAAGGCAGCAGUGGGGAAUAUUGCACAAUGGGCGCAAGCCUGAUGCAGCCAUGCCGCGUGUAUGAAGAAGGCCUUCGGGUUGUAAAGUACUUUCAGUCGUGAGGAAGGUGUUAAGGUUAAUAACCUUAGCAAUUGACGUUAGCGACAGAAGAAGCACCGGCUAACUCCGUGCCAGCAGCUGCGGUAAUACGGAGGGUGCGAGCGUUAAUCGGAAUUACUGGGCGUAAAGGGCACGCAGGCGGUUAAUUAAGUUGGAUGUGAAAUCCCCGGGCUUAACCUGGGAAUGGCAUUCAAGACUGGUUAGCUAGAGUCUUGUAGAGGGGGUAGAAUUCCAUGUGUAGCGGUGAAAUGCGUAGAGAUGUGGAGGAAUACCGGUGGCGAAGGCGGCCCCUGGGACAAAGACUGACGCUCAUGUGCGAAAGCGUGGGGAGCGAAACAGGGAUUAGGAUACC
rnacentral:rRNA from 1 species